rnacentral:misc_RNA from 1 species
GGAAGAUAGUUUACUUAUCAACCAGAGUAAAACGUCAACGUUCCCAACGGUCAGUUUUAUCUAUACUUAUCGUCUUUGGUACCAAUACCAAAAGCAAAAAGAUUGGAGGACAUUAACUUGAGAGGUUAGCCACACAAACCAACACCAGUGUAAUUCCACAAGUGGGAUCGCGGAGGGUGGAUACACGGCCCUUAACCAUAUCUUAUGAAGGUAAAUAGGCUAUUUUAAUGUUUUCAGGCAUUACAAAAUGACAAAGGUAAAUUGUAACCUCAUCCAUAUGUUGUAAGAUGCUUUCUGCAUGCAUGUGU